GUGUCUACCUCUUCCCAUUCCGAACAGAGAAGUCAAGCCCGCCAGAGCCGAUGGUACUGCGGUAAUACGUGGGAGAGUAGGUCGGCGCCAAAU
rnacentral:rRNA from 1 species